GGGGUUAUAGCUCAGUUGGGAGAGCGCUUCGCUGGCAGCGAAGAGGUCAUCGGUUCGACCCCGAUUAACUCCACCA
rnacentral:tRNA from 1 species